CCGGGGCGCGCGAGGAGCCGGUGCCGAAGCCCAGCACCGGCAUCGCGUGGCCCGUGUUGAGGGUGACGCACGGGAUCGCCGUCGCGACGGCUGCGUGCUGGUCGUCGUCGGCGGCGGCCAUGGUUGCAGUUGAUCUAGCUUGUUGGGAGUUGGGGUUGGGGUUGGGCGUUUGGUUUGACUUGACCGGCCGCACCGCGUGAAUGAAUGGUCUUUAAAUAAUAACAAGAUUUGUGUGAGUUGGUGGUUGGCACGU
rnacentral:lncRNA from 1 species